rnacentral:rRNA from 1 species
GACGGAGGAUGCAAGUGUUAUCCGGAAUCACUGGGCGUAAAGCGUCUGUAGGUGGUCAAAUAAGUCAACUGUUAAAUCUUGAGGCUCAACCUCAAAAUCGCAGUCGAAACUAUUAGACUAGAGUAUAGUAGGGGUAAAGGGAAUUUCCGGUGGAGCGGUGAAAUGCGUAGAGAUUGGAAAGAACACCGAUGGCGAAGGCACUUUAUUGGGCUAUUACUAACACUUAGAGACGAAAGCUAGGGUAGCAAAUGGG